rnacentral:rRNA from 1 species
GAUGAACGCUGGCGGCGUGCCUAAUACAUGCAAGUCGAGCGAACAGACGAGGAGCUUGCUCCUCUGACGUUAGCGGCGGACGGGUGAGUAACACGUGGAUAACCUACCUAUAAGACUGGGAUAACUUCGGGAAACCGGAGCUAAUACCGGAUAAUAUAUUGAACCGCAUGGUUCAAUAGUGAAAGACGGUUUUGCUGUCACUUAUAGAUGGAUCCGCGCCGCAUUAGCUAGUUGGUAAGGUAACGGCUUACCAAGGCGACGAUGCGUAGCCGACCUGAGAGGGGGAUGGGCACACCUGGACCGGAGCCACGGGCCAGACCCCUAGGGGGGCAAGCAGGAGGGAUUCUUCCGCAAGGGGCGAAAGCCUGAGGGAGCAACGCCGGGGGGGUGAUGAAGGCUUUCGGAUCGUAAACCUCUGUUAUUAGGGAAAAAAAAAUUUUAAAGACACCAUGCACUUUUGGACGGUACCUAAUCAAAAAGCCACGGCUAACUACGU